AAGGAACGUAGGUCGCGUAUCCCUCCGCCACUGCUAUUUCUGCUACUUCCGCGAUUUCUGUGACUUCUGCUACUUCUGCGACUUACCACCGUAUGAAAAAGUUACAUCUGCCCACACAGAAAAUUGCAUCUCAACAAAUCUGUCAUUGGUACCCGAACUACAUUUCAGUCACUCAGUAAAUUCAUAACUCAAAAUAUCAUUGUCAACAGAUCUGGAGAAAUUGCCACUGCAUCUUUAGACCGUUUUCGUCAGACAAGAGACAGUUCUGACUCUUGACUACUGGUUGCUGUACAUAUCUAUCAACAUCAAAGCUAUUGAGAGAGGCUCGUGAAGAUUCAAGACAGCUCUUAGAGGAUUUGCAGUUUAUAAGUGACAUAAUUGUGAAAUACGUGUGCAGAUGAGUGAUUAAACUGUGUUUUAUUCAA